rnacentral:tRNA from 2 species
UGCGAUGGGCCGCGCGGCAUCGGGAACUUCAGCUUCCCAAGCUGAUAGCGCGGGUUCGAUUCCCGUCAUCCCCUCCA